UUUAGAUGGCGACCGGCGCACGGGUGAGUAACACGUAUCCAACCUGCCGAUGACUCGGGGAUAGCCUUUCGAAAGAAAGAUUAAUACCCGAUGGCAUAGUUCUUCCGCAUGGUAGAACUAUUAAAGAAUUUCGGUCAUCGAUGGGGAUGCGUUCCAUUAGGUUGUUGGCGGGGUAACGGCCCACCAAGCCUUCGAUGGAUAGGGGUCCUGAGAGGAAGGUCCCCCACAUUGGAACUGAGACACGGUCCAA
rnacentral:rRNA from 1 species